UACGUAGGGUGCAAGCGUUGUCCGGAAUUAUUGGGCGUAAAGGGCGCGUAGGCGGCCCCGUGCGUCACGCGUGAAAGCUCCCGGCUCACCUGGGAGAGGUCGUGUGAUACGGCGGGGCUCGAGCGAGGUAGGGGGGCCAUGGAAUUCCCGGUGUAGUGGUGGAAUGCGUAGAGAUCGGGAGGAACACCGGUGGCGAAGGCGGCGACCUGGUCCUUGACUGACGCUGAGGCGCGAAAGCGUGGGGAGCAAACAGG
rnacentral:rRNA from 1 species